rnacentral:rRNA from 2 species
ACAUGCAAGUCGAGCGAAUCGAUGGGAGCUUGCUCCCUGACAUUAGCGGCGGACGGGUGAGUAACACGUGGGCAACCUGCCUAUAAGACUGGGAUAACUUCGGGAAACCGGAGCUAAUACCGGAUACGUUCUUUUCUCGCAUGAGAGAAGAUGGAAAGACGGUUUACGCUGUCACUUAUAGAUGGGCCCGCGGCGCAUUAGCUAGUUGGUGAGGUAAUGGCUCACCAAGGCGACGAUGCGUAGCCGACCUGAGAGGGUGAUCGGCCACACUGGGACUGAGACACGGCCCAGACUCCUACGGGAGGCAGCAGUAGGGAAUCUUCCGCAAUGGACGAAAGUCUGACGGAGCAACGCCGCGUGAACGAAGAAGGCCUUCGGGUCGUAAAGUUCUGUUGUUAGGGAAGAACAAGUACCAGAGUAACUGCUGGUACCUUGACGGUACCU